rnacentral:lncRNA from 1 species
CCUAAGAAAUAUAAUUAAAGUACAGGGAAAAUUAAAAGAAAGUUCACAGAGAGAUAUCACGGCAAAUGAUAAAUACAAAAGCCUGCCUUGUUUCCCAUACCCCCUGUGUCUUAGAUUCCCUGAAUUUUACCUCCCAGUGGACCGUGCUUGUCCCUUUGUAAUGGCGCUCCAAGCAGCACUGCUGCACACCAAUUCCUGAGCUUCCCUGCUUCUUGAGCUUAGGAAUAGUUGUGCUUCUAUUUCCUGUUUAUUUGCUCAUCACUGGAGUAGCAACUGAACCACACAAUUGGGAUAAGUACCCUGAGGCCAUUUUGGGAGUAAUCUUCCAUUUCUUCCUUACGUAUAAAACUGCCCCUCACAGAGAAACUGUCUAGAGUGAUAGGUCCAGAGUAGAGCUCUAGCUUUGCUUUACCCUUUGCAGCUGUGCUCUGAGAGCUUUGAUGCAAUCCCACUGCAACUGGAAUCAGUGACAGAGUAGGGAUGCUCAGGGAAUCUGUUGGGCCACCAAAGAAAACUCACUUCUAGCUAAUGCUUAUCUGGGGCUAUGGAAGUUGUCUAACAUCCCUGGGGACAGAGUGUUUGCCCUGAAAAGGAACAUUCCCUUGGCACAAAGUAUCCUGUUGGCUGGAUUUUAUUAUAAAUGUGACAAGAAUGCUUUUGGCCAGUAACUGGUGGUUGGGUCAGUUUGUGUUUUGUAAACCCAUAAAGAGGAAAAGGCUCUCAUGUGGUUGGGAGAGGUGGGAAUGGAUCAUGCACUAAGGUCAGGUCUGGUGAAGUUAGGGAAUAAGGCCAGUGUUUACGAAGAGUGAUUCCUUCAUGAACCCCUAAAAGAUGCUCUGGAACACUACCAGUAGGAUGAUGUCUGUAUGUAGAGGUGCAGAUGACAUGUUCUCGGAAUACAGAGGAAGGCACCACUGCCUCUACCUUGAGAGUAUAUCACAGAGAAAGAUUUAUAUUUGGACUAGAUGGCUGAGAGAUGAGUAGGAGUUUGAUAGAAGAGAGCAUGGAAACUGGCUGUACAACGGCAGAAAGGGCAGGAAAGGCUGAGGAGAAUUGGCCUCUGGGGGUGGGUUAUAGAUAUGGGCCUGGGCACCACAUUCUGGAGCUUGCAAUGGGGUAUGUAAAAGCUUAGAUGGGAUGGUCUUUUCCUCUCCUCCCAUGGGUUCAUAGUUGGCCCACCUCACUCACUGCUGCAAACAAGCUGCCCCCAUUUGAGAGAGAGCUGGAGUGGGGUCUCUAAGCCUCCAGCAACCACUUAGGAGCUAGCCUUGAUGCCCCAGCAGCUAACCUCAUGGAGACCCCAUAGUCCAUCCUAUCUUGGGAAGACAAUGCAGGCAUGGGGAAGGUAACAUUCCCCUCCAGACUCCAGAGGCUCCAAGGAGCCUCUCUCUCUCUUCAAGAAAAGAAAUAGUCACUGAGCCACGGGUGGAGGUGAACAUGGUUUGGGACCAACAGGCGGCUGGAUGGUUUCACCUCCACGGUCAUACAAUGGUACUGGGAGAUGAAUGGGGGUAGGGCGAUCUAGAAUUAGUUCAACCUCAACUUCCAGUGGGGUGGUGCUUGGAGUUGACUCAUUGUGGCCCCAUUUAAUAUUCGCAGUCACCAGUUGGGGUAGGUGGGACUGUUGCUCCCAUUUCACAGAUCAGGACAGGAUAGUUUGCUAGAGGUCACAGGACUAGUUGGGGAAAGGAAAGGGUGUCAGGUAGGAUUUUAACCUUAGAGCCUCACGUUUUCUUAGGCUCUUUCAGGGGGACCUUGGGCAAAUUCCGUUCUCUCUUGGUGGGGGGGGGUCUCCAUUCCUUAUUUGUAAAUUAAGGAGUUCUUCCAGUUUGUGAUUCUCUGUACUUUAACUUGGAUAGGUUUUGUAAAAUGGGGAUUAUGGGAACCCCACUAUAUUUAAGUAGAGUAGGUCUGGGGUGAGGCCCAGUAAUCUGCAGCUUUGAACAAACCUCGGCAUCCACAAAACUGGCUGAGAUACUCAGGGAAAGUUUAUGAUGCAUGAAAAUCUUAUUGCGAGCUGUCCAAAACACAUAACACUGAGCUCCAUCUGCAGAGAUCCUGUUUUGAUACCCUUGGUUGGACUGUGGCUGGGUAAUUUGCAUUUGUCAGAAGUGAGGCCAGUCACCUGGUCAACAACCCCUCCUGUCGCUCUGUGACCCUCCCCGGGCGUCCGCGGUGCUUCUUUACUUGCAUCUUGUGGGAAUGACAUCUGCGCAGGCAGCCCCUUUUUAGCACCGCUCCUCGCACGCGAGCCCAGCCCUUAAAAACCCAGCCCAGCCCCGGGUUUGCAGAUACUCAGGGCAGGGGAAGGCGCCUUUCCGCAUUUGGUGUAGUCCCGCAUGCUGCCAUUUGAUGUCGCGGGAGAACGCGCCUACAGGGAUAGGGCGGGGCAAGGAGGCGAGGAAGGAAAAAAAGCGACAAGUGAAGACUGACAUCCAUUAAGGUCAAUGGUAGCUCAAUCUUCGGUUCUCUGACUCCCAAGCUUCCCAUUCUCUUAGGAGGCUGCAUUUGUGGCGCUAAAAAAAGGGAUGGGCGUGGGAGAUUCCAGGACAUGUGCUCGCUGAAGAUACAACUGUUAGUCCAAGGUAACUCCCACUCGUAGUGGCUCAACCCUCUUUGUCAAUUCACCUUCCUCUAAGUUAACUAUGGCUGCUCCACCUGUCUUUAGGGAAACCUACUCCCCAUCGCGCUGGGUAUUUUGGAUUUUUUAAAAGCGUCGCGGGGUAAAGUCAGUGUUGUGCUUUUCCUUUUCUCAGCAGAUAUGCUUCCUUAUGAACUGACGGUGACUCCCAAAUUCAUAUGUUGAAGACCCAACUCCCAACGGACUUGGAGGUGGGCCUUUGAGAAGUAAUUGGGUUUAGAUUAAGUCAUAAGGGUGGAGCCCCCUUGAUGGUAUUAAGUCCUUCUAAGAAAAGGAAGAGAGUCUGAGCUCUCCUCUGUCUCCACCAUGUGAGGGCACAGAGAUGUAUGCUUCUUGGAUUUUGUUUUUAACUCAGUAUGAAAAACAUAUAUUUUAAUAAGAAAAUUACCCCAUUCAUUGUUAGUGUGUUUAUUGAUAAUGUUGGACUUACUUGUGCCAUAUUUAAGAAAUCCUCUUUCAUCCUUCCCAUGCUUUCUUGUUGUUUUUUUAAUGCAAGUGCAUGAUAAGGUUUAGGGAUCACUUUUUUAACAGGUCCACGAAGGGCUAGAUAAGGGAAGCUGGUUUGCGUUCAGGGAAGCGGCAGAGGAGGGAAGCUGGCAGCUGGGCUGUGCUAAGAUGACCUUAGCCCCAGACCCUGGAUGAACAUCCUCUUCUGGAUACAGGACCUGCCCGAGGCAUCAUUUUGAAAUAGUCAAAUUUUAUUUGCUUUGUGUUCUUUCAUCACAUAUAUUAGCUUUUGCCUCUUGAGUGCCAAAAUAUAGCUGUUUUUAUAUUACCCCAAGUUCCUGAGUUUAUUUUUUAGGUAAGAAUUUUCCACCCUUUGAAAUCCCAAAUGACAUGUUUACUCUCUUUCUCAGACCAUGCUUUCAUUUCAGUCAAUGUAACAAAUCAGCCAGGUCUCAGGAGUUUAGAAAUCUGAUUGGAUUGAUUUAUACUAAGCGGUAACAGAUCUACCACAGCCUUCUAAGAUGAAUUGGAGUUUCUUAAAAACUCCAUGACCUACACUAUUCUUUAGGUGCUGGAAUUGCACACUUUCAAAUCACAUCAAGUAUAAACAUUCAAUUUUGUGGGGGGUUAUUUUCUAUGGAGAGAUGAGGUGUUGAUUAAUACUGGUAGGCUUUACUCCAAAAGACAAUUCUAUUAAGAUUUCUUUUGUUUUUUAAAAUCUAGACUAUCAGAAGGAGUAAAAAUGCCAAUUUUUUUUUUCUUUUUGCUGUGGCUACAAUGUUCACAGUAAUCCAAGCUCCAAUGACAGGGGGGGAGAGCGGAGCCAAAUGAGGCCCCGUUUUUUUCAUGAAGUGUAUUUUUCUUUUUUUUUUUGAGAUCAGGGGUUCAGAAAUUGUAAUAUAAGUGUUCAAUUAUAAAGUUAUUAUGAUAGUGCAUGGCACGUGUCCUUUCCAUCAUCUGGAUUUUUCCACUUUUACUGUAUGGCUCACUCUUACUCACUCUCCAGUCUUCACCUUAGUGGUCACUUCCCCCUGAAAUGCCCUUGACCCCUUAAGAUAGCAGUGCUGCAAACAUCGUAAGCUGAAUUUAUAGCCAGACUCACAGGCAACACCUUAUCUUGUGCCAUGCUUCACUAAUGAUGAGGAAGUGAGAAAGAGUAGGGGAAAGGAGGCACAACAAAUGUCAUUUCCAUAACAGAGGCCUCAAGGCCAGCCCACUUGAUUCUCUGGAGAUCCUUUUCUGCAUAACAAUGAUGAAAGGUAGCCUAAGAAAGCCAUUUGUCUGAGGCUUCACCUUUGAUACCUUGCUAGACACUAAACUAAGAGACUGAUUCCAUUCUUUAGUAUAGCCAUUGCCUCAUAAAUCCAUACAUAACAGGGGUAUUUCUUUCCAAUAAAGUAUCCAUAUAGAUUAGGUAUAUUCUAUUGACAAUUUUAUUAAAGUUCUUCAUUUAUCUUCCAGAUAGUAGAUUCUAUCAACCAAGUUUCAUAAAGAGUUCUGAUUCCCAGAGGUAAGAACUGAGCCUGGCUUUCUAGUUACAUGUUUAUUGGUAACUCUGUCCUUCCCUACAACACUUAAGCAUAUUUAAAGACUAUACCCUCCCCUGCCUCCAGCUUGGAUUGUAAGCUCCUCAAGAGCAUGGCUGUGUCCUUUAACAUCAAGUCUCCAUGUGAGAAAGAGUUCCUGCCAUAUCACAAAUGCCCAAUCAACAUUUGUAAGUGAAGAAAGCUAUUCUGUGGUGUCUGCUUUAAUAUUAAGAGAUGGCUUGCCCAAGAUUGCUAAGCAGCUUCAUUGUCUACAAUGGAACAAGAUUCUGUGGGUAGCAGUUCCAUUGGUGCCACUGACAGGAGGCCUCAAGGAAACCUAGUGCACUAGUCUUUCUGAUGACGCCUUGAUUUUCUUCCAGCACAGAGCCGUAAAAUGGAAUAUUCUUCUGACACAGAUACUUCAUGCAUCGCAUGAUCAGCCGUGUCCCAUUGCCUCUCCUUCGGUAUUUUUCCACACUGUAGCCCAUUCCUAUUUCACAAGAAGGGUCCAUGGUUACCCAUGAGACCGGGACCCCCUCUGGGCCCAGCAUACAGGCUGCUGGCAGGGCUCCUAGGCAGCGCUUGAUGUAACGCAGGCUCCUCUUAUUCAUCCCUAGCUUCCAGUUGUCAUUUACCAGCCCAGAAUAAGACACAUUCAGCUGGGCAUACUUAAAGUUCGGAGUCUCGCUGUAGAAAACAAAAAGAAAGACAACAACUUUCAUCCCCACUCCUGUAAUUUCUAGGUGCCCUUCCAUUCUAGAGAUCCCAGGCCCUCUUCUUGUUAAAAGACCCACCAUUGCAAAGUGGCGUAUUUUGACCACUGACAACCUUUAUUCAUCCCAAGGAAUGAAUUCAUCCUCUCUUCAUUCCAAAACUGAUUUAUGUGAAUUACAAAAAUGUACAAGGAAUAGCAAUUAUAAAUGAUCAGCACAUGUUUUUUGUACCUCUCCAAUUCGUCAUCUGGGUGGCCUGUCUCAGCCCAGCUUCCAAGCUUGCUUUUAUUGGUGGCAUAGAGCUUCAGGAUAUCUUCCGUAACAAAGAGGAGUGCUCUCGAAUGCUCUACCUUCACUGAAUUUGAAAAUGCAGCUGCUCUUAUCCCCUCACCUAAACUUUCUUGAAAACCUGAGAGAAAGCCAAGAAAGCAAUAUUGUCAGACAUGCAGUUCUCUACUUACACUGCUCACACCUGAUUAAUGCCUCAGUGCUUAGUAGUUCUCAAAGUUGAGUUUACACCACAAUCAGCUAUAGUCCUUGGCACACCACAGAUUGCUCCACCUCUCCCAGCUCUGAGAAUUUCAAGGAAUUUACAUUUCUAAUGAGCUCUCAGGUGAUGCUAAUGCUGUUAGUUGAAGACACAAUUUGAGAAGCACAGCUGCUUGCCCAUUUCUUCAGACUUGUUACCUUGGAUUUGGAGUUUCUGUUUCCAGUUUAUGAUCUCAGAAUUUUUCAAAACUUCUUGUGAUUUUUGAGGGUCUUUGGAGAAUACACGAUAUACAUUAGUGUAUGAAUCCAUGUCAUCAGUCAUCUCCUGUGUAGGAUGGUGAAAGGUCAGAUCAUUCCCUUGAACUUUUUCUUCUCCUCUCACUGAUUGCAAUUAUUAGAAAAAUGAAAAUUCAAAAGAAAGUUUUAGCACUAGCCCACGAUGGCUGCAGUUGGGCACGUGGAUAAUAUAAGUGAGACCUAUAAGCUACUGCUGACCUCUUACCUGUGUAACUGGAGUUUGUUAAAUAUUGAACACUGACAGUUACUGGUUAUAAACCUGCUUCUCAGAUACAUAACAAAGACAGGAUGAAAUCAGUCACCCUCCACCAGGCCUUAAGAUGCCUCACUUUUCUCCCUACCCACUCAACUGCACACUUACCUUAUUUUAUAUAUAGCAUCACAGAGCGCCCAGCAGAAGCAAAGGAAUGCAACAAUUGCUUCUCUCCCUGCUUCUCUCACCUCCUGGACCACACAUAUCCCCCUGUUAUAUAUACUGUGCCCCACAUAACCCCCUGUGGGACAUAUUCUGGGUUGUACUGAGUCCGUGUUGAUAGGGUUAAGUUCUUAAGCUCGGCACAAGAUGAAUUUAACCAUGAUUUCUCUAAGUUAUAGUGCCUACUGUUUCACCAGACACCUACAAUCUAUAUUGUUCUAGAAUCUGCAGUGUCCAGGGUUUGAGCAAGAUACUUUAGUGAAUAUAAACAUUAAGGAGACAUUGCCUUUUCCCAAGGCUACAGGAUAUCAGCCUCUUUGAAGAGUGACAUGGCCUUUACAGCCAGAAGCCCACAAAAUAGAAUGAAGUAACUGAAUUUUCCGUAGCACUCUGCGCAAUUUAUGUGGUGUUAGACUCAUGGGUUUUAAAGAAAGAUACUUGUGAUCUCAUUCUCACAAGCCACAAACUUCAUGGGACGAUGAGUAUCUGUUUAUCAGGGGAAAUAUAAACAAUAAGUGUGAGUUUUAGCAGUGCAUGUAUUAAUAUUAUGUUGAAAAUUGUAUUGUUAAGGAGUAAAAGAGAAAAUAGUGUAACUAAUUUUAAAGAAACCUUCAAGAAUUUGAGGAUGCUUUUAUAAAUGCAAGUUCCUGAAUAUGGCCAAAACACAACACCUCAGUGAAUUUAAAAGAGUAGAUGUUUUAAAAGACCGGAUUUUAAAAGAAUGACUGAACAUAGCCAAGUAAAUAUUCAAAGAAUUAUAAAAAGAAUAUCAAAGUAGACUAGAAAAUAACAAAUGGAACAAUUUGUAAAAAUGAAAGCCAUAAAUAAUGAAAUGUAGAACAAGACACAGUGCAAAUGAUAUAUAAAGCCAAAAGUUCAUUUUUAAAUGGCAAAAAGAAAGAGCAGAAGAGAGAGAGAGAUAAACUUCUGGUAAGGCAUUUAAAGGAAAUAGAAGAGAAAGAGAAAAAAGAAAAAAAAAAGGCAUAGAGUAUGAGCCAUGAGAAUGGAAACAGAAAAGGAAAAAGACUUAUAAUAGAAGAUUAUAUACUACUCCAAGGCAACAUAUUCACUGAUAAAGAAAUGGAUGUUAUCCCUCAAGAAUAAACUAUCAAAAUUGACUUUCAAAAAAUAGAAAACUUCAAUGAACUAAUAGAAAUAUCGGAAAUGAAAUGAAAUAUCUACCAUUUGAAAAGUGGACAAGAAUUAUGGCUUCCAGCUCCAUCCGUGUUGCUACAAAGGACAAUAUUUUAUUCUUUUCUAUUGCUGUGUAGUAUUCCAUAGGAAUACAUGUACCAAGUUUUUUUAUCCAAUGCACCUUUGAUGGGGAUCUGUGAUGAUUCCAUGUCUUUGCUAUUGUGAACAGUGCAGCAAUGAACAUCCUAGUGCAUGUGUCAUUUUGGUAGAACGAUUCAUUUUCUUUUGGGUAUUUACCUAGUAAUGGCAUUGCUGGGUCGAAUGGCAACUCUCUUUUAAGUUCUCUAAGAAAUUUCCAGACUACUUUCCACAGUGUAAUAAUCCUAAGCAAAUUAAUGCUGUAACAGAAAAUCAAAUAUCACGUUUUCACUCAUAACUGGGAGCUAAGCAUUGAACAUACAUGGACAUAAAUGUGAGAACAAUAGACACUAUGGACUCUAGAGGGUGGAGGGAAAGGGGCUGGGUUAGAAAACUACCUAUCGGGUACUAUGCUCACUACCAGGGUGAUGGGAUCUGUCCAUACUCCAAGACUCAGCAUCAUGCAAUAUUUGCGUGUAACAAAUAUGCACAUGUACCCCCUUUAUCUAAAAGGAAAGUUGAAAUUACAAACUAAAAAGUAGCCAAAAUUAGAUUAUUUUACAUUUCAAUUCUACAUAAGGCAAAACCAAACACAUAAUUUUAAUAGUAGACUUUGGUAACAGAUGAAAAUAUCCUAAUGCCAAAUCUGGUAAAGAAAUAACAAAAAGAGAGUUACUGACCAUAUUGGCUUAUGAAUACAGAUGCAAAAAUUCUGAAUAAAAUAUUCAGUAGCAUAUGAAAAGAAUGUGAACAUGAACAGUUUGUUUUAGAAAGGCCAGAAUGAGUUUGAUCAGAAGAUCUUUUAGGGUAAUAAAUUAAAGGAGGAAAAAAUUACAUGAGUAUAUAAAUUGCCAUAAAAAGACAAAAAUGAAAUAACAUAAAAUCUACCGUUCAUUCUAAAUAUAAUUUCUAUGAAAAUGGGAAAACAGGAAAGUGCUCUAAGCCUGUAAAGACAGAAUUAAAUGUAAUUCCAAAGGUAAGUUUUUAUAGCUAUUUCAUUAAAAUCAGGAAUGAGACAAGGAUAGAACUUUUAUUAUGGCUACUUGGUAUUGUUUUCUUAGGUUGUACAUUAUACAAUAAGGCAAGAAAGUAAAAACCCAUACAAAUAUUGGCAAAGAAGCAGCAAAUUACUUUGUUUAUAGAUUACAGUAUUACACAUUUAGAAAAUAUAAGAGACUUCGACAGAAAACAAAAACAAAUAACACCCCAGGCAAACAAAGAAGAUUUUAAAGCAUAGUGUGACAUAUUUGGAAAUGAAGAAUAUAAAUAGAAAGCAAUAACAAAAUAAUAAUGCUCAGAAAUAGAAAAGGAAAAAUAAUUUAAUAAUCUUAAAAAAUAAUAUAAAAUACCUAAGGGUAAACUUAAUGGAAAAAUCACGUAGUUUACCUCAGGAAAACACUAAUAUUUUACCAGAUGGCAUAGAACAGAAACUGAAAAAAGUGAGAGAAAGACCAUAUUUCUUGAUAAAAAUAUUUAGUAUCACAAAAAUAUUAAUGCUUCCACAAUUGUCUAAAAAAGCUCCUCCAAUACAAAUCACAAUUGCAAUACUUAGUUGGGGAAAUUGGGGAACUGAAAAAUUAGUUUUUGUUCAUAUAGCUCUGAAGUUUAUAAGAAAUAGGAAAGCAAGAAAAAGAUUAGUGAAGGGUGAUUUGCUUUAUUAGAUAUUAAAAUUUGCCACAAAACAAUGAAAUAGCAUGAGAAAAGAUUAGAAACAAAUACAGAAAUAGCUACAAAAAUAUAUAAAAGUUAUAUGACAAAAUAGACAUUUAUGUUUCAGUAGCAGAAUGACUUACUUAAUAAAUAGCACUAACGUAAUUAGCCAGCCAUUCGGGGGAUAAAUAUAAAAGAAUGUUAAUUCAUGCUAUUCAAAAAUAUAUUCCAAAUAGAAUGAAGUUUGAAAUGUCAAAAGUAAAAAUUAACUCACUGUAAGACAAAAUGAAAAAAACAACUUGUACGAUCUUGGUUUAGGAAAAAUCUUCCUAAUUAUUAACAAAAAAACUCCCAAAGCCUCAGGAAUCAUAGUGAAAAAGAUAAUAUAUUUGAUUACAUGAAAAUUAAAAAUUGCUUCAUGUGAAAAUCUAUCAAAUUAGAAAAUAAUUCUAAAUUGGGCAACAAAUUUGUAGCAUACACCUUGUGUUAGUAUCCCUCAUAUCCAAAACACAUAGAGAAUUUUAAGAAUGACACAAAAUCCCAGUGUAAAAAUGGUCAAACAAUAUAAACAGUUCAGAAGUAAACCCAAAAUGACUGAUAAUCAUAUGAAAAUAUAUGUUGAAUAUCACUAGUCAGGGAAAUGCAAAUUAAAUCUACAAUAAGAUGCCACUUUUCACCCACCAGUUUGGCAUAAAGUAGAAGAAGGAUAACAUUCACUGCUGAUGAGAAUGUGGGAAACAAUUCUUCCACAGAUUGCUAAUGGAAAUAAUACUGUGGAAUCCUUUGGGAGGGUAGUCUGGCAGUGCCUACUUAGGAUAAGAUAAGCUCUGACUUGGACUUAUCCCUUUUGGAAACCAAUUGCAUUGAGAAAAGUUUCCAGGAUGUAAAGACAUGUAUACAAGGAUGUUUAUUGAAGCAUUGUUUGUAAUGGCAAAGAAGUAUGAACAAUUUGAACCCAACAGGAGGAGAAUGACUGACUAAAUAGCAUUGCAUUGACUCUAUGGAACGCCACAGUUAUUAAAACAAAUAUGUUAGUGCUGUAUUGAUUCACUCAAAGCAAUGUCCAUAUGUCAAAGGCAAAUUAAAAAGCGAUUACAGAAGAGAUCAUAACUGAAUAUCCGUUUGUGUGUUAAUAUGGCCAAGGACACCGAUUACCCCAAAGGGUAGGAAUGGAGGAGAGGAGGGCAAAGAGGUGAGAGGUUAUUAACUUCUUAAAAUCAUGUUGAAUUUUUCCACUUCUAUAAUCAGCAUAUAUUAUCUUUCUGAUUAGGAACCAACAAAGAAAAAUUAAUAUUUUUCUAGAGAAAUUCUCCUGCAUCUCACCUUAAAAAGGUCUUCUUCAAAAUUGCAUUGAUUUUCAAUACUGAAAGAAACAUGGUAUACUAUGGAAUCAGACUAAGUGAAUGUAUUUCCAAGUAAAUUGCAGCAUAUUUCAUUCUUUCCAUUUUUUUGGUCAUAUAUGUGUGGCAUGGAACUUUUAUAUUUUAAUAUUUUUGUUUGCUGACUCACUAUAUAAAAACUAGCCUUGUUCAAAGCAAUGCAUAUAUGAAGUUACAGCUUGAUGGUACAGUUACAUUGUUAAAAUACACAUAGUGACUACAAAGUUACUGAAGUAAAAAGAACUAUUUGGUUCAUACAGUUAUUUAGCGUAUGACACUUUGAAGAAAUUGGACCAUGGAUCAAGUAAACUAACCAUUAAUCAUCGAUCCGAAAUUGUCAGGAAACCAGGAGAUCAAAAGAACAUCCCUGGGGAAGGUAUUAGGCUCAGCUUAUUAUUAUGUGGGGGCUCAGUGUCUAUACCCACCUGAAGCUGGGCUGGCCAUGAGGCUUCAGUUCACUAAUCAGAUGUGCAUGAAACAGACACAAAAAGGGGAAGUCUUUAGGGCCAAAAAAUAGACCUAGGUUUGUAUUACUAUUUCAGCUUAAUCGUGUAUUCCUUGUGUGUCCUCGGCCAAUAAUGGCUAAUUAUGGUAAAUACUAUUUAGAAUUAUGUGCUAUAUACUAAGUGUUUGACAUGUGGUAUCUCAUUUAAACCUUGUGUAAUCCUCUGAAGAAUGUCCUCCUAUUUUUCCCAUUUUAACAGAUGAUAAAACUCACAGAAGGGCCUAUGGUUAUAUAGCUAGUAAAAGUGGCAGAGUCCGUUGAACUUGAAUUCAGAUUGGGGAAUGCUUUAACAGAUGGUAUCCAGCAGCUACCUGACUGAAUAUUUCUCAGUGUUGUUUCCUCAUCUCUAAAUUAAAGAUAUUAAAGCUCA